rnacentral:rRNA from 1 species
UUCCGGUUGAUCCUGCCGGAGGCCAUUGCUAUCGGAGUCCGAUUUAGCCAUGCUAGUCGAGCGAGGUUAGCCCUCGCGGCGAACAGCUCAGUAACACGUGGCCAAGCUACCCUGCAGAGGGGGACAGCGUCGGGAAACUGACGGGAAUCCCCCAUACCGGUCUCACGCUGGAAUGCCGAGACCGACAAACGCUCCGGCGCUGCAGGAUGCGGCUGCGGCCGAUUAGGUAGUCGGUGGGGUAACGGCCCACCGAGCCGAUAAUUGGUACGGGGUGUGAGAGCACGAGCCCGGAGACGGAAUCUGAGACAAGAUUCCGGGCCCUACGGGGCGCAGCAGGCGCGAAACCUUUACACUGCACGAAGGUGCGAUAAGGGGACUCCGAGUGCGAGGGCAUACAGUCCUCGCUAUUGUGUACCGUAGGGUGGUACACGAUCAAGAGCUGGGCAAGACCGGUGCCAGCCGCCGCGGUAAUACCGGCAGCUCGAGUGAUGGCCGAUUUUAUUGGGCCUAAAGCGUCCGUAGCUGGCCCUGCAAGUCCGUCGGGAAAUCCACUCGCCUAACGAGUGGGCGUCCGGCGGAAACUACAGGGCUUGGGACCGGAAGACUUGAGGGGUACGUCUGGGGUAGGAGUGAAAUCCUGUAAUCCUGGACGGACCGCCGAUGGCGAAAGCACCUCAAGACGACGGAUCCGACAGUGAGGGACGAAAGCUAGGGUCUCGAACCGGAUUAGAUACCCGGGUAGUCCUAGCCGUAAACGAUGUUCGCUAGAUGUGGCACAGGCUACGUGCCUGUGCUGUGUCGUAGGGAAGCCGAGAAGCGAACCGCCUGGGAAGUACGUCCGCAAGGAUGAAACUUAAAGGAAUUGGCGGGGGGAGCACUACAACCGGGGGAGCCUGCGGGUUUAAUUGGAUUCAACGCCC